AUUGAACGCUGGCGGUAUGCUUAACACAUGCAAGUCGAACGAUGAGAAAGAGCUUGCUCUUUCGAUUAGUGGCGGACGGGUGCGUAACGCGUAGGAAUCUACCUAUUAGUGGGGGACAACUUAGGGAAACUUAAGCUAAUACCGCAUACGCCCUACGGGGGAAAGAAGGGGAUCGCAAGACCUUUUGCUAAUAGAUGAGCCUGCGUAGGAUUAGCUAGUUGGUGGGGUAAAAGCUCACCAAGGCGACGAUCUUUAACUGGUUUGAGAGAAUGAUCAGUCACACUGGAACUGAGACACGGUCCAGACUCCUACGGGAGGCAGCAGUGGGGAAUAUUGGACAAUGGGCGAAAGCCUGAUCCAGCAAUACCGCGUGUGUGAAGAAGGCCUUAGGGUUGUAAAGCACUUUCAAUUGGAAGGAAAACCUCGAAGCUAAUACCUUCGAGUUUGACAUUACCGUUAGAAGAAGCACCGGCUAACUCCGUGCCAGCCGCCGCAGUAA
rnacentral:rRNA from 1 species